UACGUAGGAGGCAAGCGUUGUCCGGAUUUACUGGGCGUAAAGCGCGCGCAGGCGGCACACUAAGUAAGGUGUGAAAUCUCCCUGCUCAACGGGGAGGGUGCACUUUAGACUGGUGAGCUAGAGGGCGGUAGAGGGGGGUGGAAUUGCUGGUGUAGCGGUGAAAUGCGUAGAGAUCAGCAGGAACACCCGUGGCGAAGGCGGCCCCCUGGGCCGUAAAACUUCUUCUACAUAAGAGAUUGCAUCAAUCAUGUAGAGGGAACCUGACGCUGAGGCGCGAAGGCUAGGGGAGCGAACGGG
rnacentral:rRNA from 1 species